rnacentral:rRNA from 1 species
GGACCAAGGAGUCUAGCAUGUGCGCGAGUCAUUGGGACUUAGCGAAACCUAAAGGCGUAAUGAAAGUGAAGGCCGCCUUGCGCGCGCCUAGGGAGGAUGUGCCGGCCAACGUGCCGGCGCCGCACUCCCGGGGCGUCUCGUGCUCAUUGCGAGCUGAGGCGCACCCAGAGCGUACACGCUGGGACCC